rfam:Gossypium hirsutum cultivar TM-1 chromosome 13, whole genome shotgun sequence
UGUUAAAAAUUUCAUCCAACUGUACUCCUAAAAUUUGGUGUGGCUAAUGGAAUUACCAGACAAUGACACCUGUACCUCAUGUUGAUGUACAUGGACCAAUUUUUAACAUUAGAAAUGGAUGAAAUUCUUUAACA